UGCCCCAUGGCUGAGUUGGUUACAGCGUCCGACUGUUAUCAUAGCCAUUUCGUUGACUGGACAAUCGGAAGGUCGUGAGUUCGAGCCUCACUGGGGCAG